rnacentral:lncRNA from 1 species
CACCAUUACUUUACUCAGACUUAAGUCAUCCCCGAUGUCCACCUGUAUUACCAGCGUAUCUACGUGUGGGCUGACCACAUUAUCUAGAUCUUCCUCAGAGAAGCUUAUUCCCUCGCUUGGGUGUGAUCUUUACUUAGACUUUGGUACAGUGGUAGUCUGCAUUACCUUUCGCGAGUAACUUCUGCUUUCUCCUACUGAUCCUCCGCCGAAGAUUAAAUUUACUACUCUUCUCUUGUGGUUAGUGUCUGAGUCGGGACUUCUCGAGCGUUGGCGCUUACCCUUGUUAUUCGGG